rnacentral:misc_RNA from 1 species
GAUAGAGUAGACUAGAGUUCUU